rnacentral:rRNA from 1 species
ACUCCUACGGGAGGCAGCAGUAGGGAAUCUUCCACAAUGGGCGCAAGCCUGAUGGAGCAACACCGCGUGAGUGAAGAAGGGUUUCGGCUCGUAAAGCUCUGUUGUUAAAGAAGAACACGUAUGAGAGUAACUGUUUCAUACGUUGACGGUAUUUAACCAGAAAGUCACGGCUAACUACGUGCCAGCAGCCGCGGUAAUACGUAGGUGGCAAGCGUUAUCCGGAUUUAUUGGGGCGUAAAGAGAGUGCAGGCGGUUUUCUAAGUCUGAUGUGAAAGCCUUCGGCUUAACCGGAGAAGUGCAUCGGAAACUGGAUAACUUGAGUGCAGAAGAGGGUAGUGGAACUCCAUGUGUAAGCGGUGGAAUGCGUAGAUAUAUGGAAGAACACCAGUGGCGAAGGCGGCUACCUGGCCUGCAACUGACGCUGAGACUCGAAAGCAUGGGUAGCGAACCAGGAUUAGAUACCCUGGUAGGAUAGCG